rnacentral:lncRNA from 1 species
GACUCUAUUGAUCAGGUCAAACAACUCUAUUUUAUCGGGUUUCAGGAAAAUAUAAUAAAAGCACAUAAUAGAGGAAGAAGAAGUAGAAAGGAAUAGAAAAAAUGACAGACUCUAUUAAUCAGACUCGUUAGUUCCGCAGCUCGGGGAGAAAGUUCCAUAAUUCACUUCAAGAUAGAUAGAAGGGAGAAUGUCGCUUUAGAAAGAAAGAAAACUCAUAAGGAAACAUUAUGAAAAGAAAAAUCUAUCUAAAGAGAGAAGUAUAUUAGAUAAUUAAUAAAGAAAAGAGAGCCAAAGAAGGAAGAGAGAUUCCAAAGCUGGAAUUCGAAUUAGAACAGAAAAGAAAUUGAAAUGAUGAUGAUAAAAAGUGAAAAGAGGAGUGGAUAGCUAGCGCAAGGAAAUGGCAAAGGGAUAUCCUUUUCCCUGAG